GAUGAAGAACGUAGCGAAAUGCGAUACUUGGUGUGAAUUGCAGAAUCCCGUGAACCAUCGAGUCUUUGAACGCAAGUUGCGCCCGAAGCCGUCAGGCCGAGGGCACGCCUGCCUGGGCGUCACACGCCGUUGCCCCCCCCGCGCCCCGCACCCAACUCUUUGGGAGCGACCGCGGGGCGGGCUGAUGAUGGCCUCCCGUGCGCUCCGCCGCGCGGUUGGCCCAAAUACCGAGUCCCCGGCGACGUGCGCCACGACGAUCGGUGGUUGAGAGACCUCUGUCGCAAGUCGUGCGCGCCCGUCGCGUCACGCGGGCUCGCAUAGCGCCUCGCGCCGCACCCGGUGCGGAGCUUUCAACGCGACCCCAGGUCAGGCGGGGUUACCCGCUGAGUUUAAGCAUAUCAAUAAGCGGAGGA
rnacentral:misc_RNA from 1 species